UGAGUGAAGAAGGCCUUCGGGUUGUAAAGCUCUUUUGUCAGGGAAGAAACGGCUCAGGCUAAUAUCCUGGGCUAAUGACGGUACCUGAAGUAUAAGCACCGGCUAACUACGUGCCAGCAGCCGCGGUAAUACGUAGGGUGCAAGCGUUAAUCGGAAUUACUGGGCGUAAAGCGUGCGCAGGCGGUUUUGUAAGUCUGUCGUGAAAGCCUCGGGCUUAACCUGGGAAUUGCGAUGGAGACUGCAAGGCUUGAAUCUGGCAGAGGGGGGUAGAAUUCCGCGUGUAGCAGUGAAAUGCGUAGAUAUGCGGAGGAACACCGAUGGCGAAGGCAAUCCCCUGGACCUGUACUGACGCUCAUGCACGAAAGCGUGGGGAGCAAACAGGAUUAGAUACCCUGGUAGUCCACGCCCUAAACGA
rnacentral:rRNA from 1 species